GCGGCCUAUCAGCUUGUUGGUGAGGUAAUGGCUCACCAAGGCUACGACGGGUAUCCGGCCUGAGAGGGCGACCGGACACACUGGGACUGAGACACGGCCCAGACUCCUACGGGAGGCAGCAGUGGGGAAUAUUGGGCAAUGGACGCAAGUCUGACCCAGCGACGCCGCGUGAGGGAUGAAGGCCUUCGGGUUGUAAACCUCUUUCAGUAGGGAAGGAGCGAAAGUGACGGUACCUACAAAAGAAGCACCGGCUAACUAUGUGCCAGCAGCCGCGGUAAUACAUAGGGUGCAAGCGUUGUCCGGAUUUAUUGGGCGUAAAGAACUCGUAGGUGGUUUGUUACGUCGGAUGUGAAACUCUGGGGCUCAACCCCAGACCUGCAUCCGAUACGGGCAGACUAGAGUGUGGUAGGGGAGACUGGAAUUCCU
rnacentral:rRNA from 1 species